rnacentral:misc_RNA from 1 species
UUUCUGCAGUUCCUACGAGUUUUUCAGAAUUUAAUCAAAAAUGUUGACUUACAUGGGAAUUGACCUUGGAACAACAUCAGUUAAAGUAUGUAUUGUAAAGGACGGGUCACAAAUAGCGACAAUCUCCAAGUCUACAAAUGCAGACACCAAGAGCAGUCUAGGCAGCUCAGGAUUUGAACAAGAUGCAGCAGCCAUAUUUUCAACGACACAAUCAUGUCUGAAAGGACUUUCCCAAGAAACCCUGGCUUCAGUCCAGAAAAUCUGCAUCACUGGACAGAUGCAUGGAGUCUUGCUGUGGUCAUCAACCAAUAAGAAUACAUUUUACAACAGAGAGAGGGACGAGUUUGAUAUAACAAACGUAAGCCCACUUUACACCUGGCAGGACCAACGGUGCACAGAAGAAUUUCUCUCAUCUCUACCAAAACCAGUAUCCCAUCUCUCUCUGUCCACUGGACAUGGAAAUGCUACCUUGUUUUGGUUGUCUAUGUUCCAGCCGGAGUUCCUGUCCAGAUAUGACAGAGCUGGAACUGUGAUGGAUUUCCUAAUCUCUGUGCUCUGUGGUCUGGAUUCUCCGAUCAUGUCUACUCAGCUUGCUGCUAGUUGGGGAUAUUUCGAUUGCAGUGCAGGGUGUUGGAAUAAAGAGGUGUAGGUAAUAUGUCAGGUGUAUGAACAUUAAUUUCUGAUGGGAAAAAAAUUGAUAGACUUUUUUUUUAUUGAAAAAUGAUUUUUCAACAGUAUGGAGCAAAAGUCAUUUCCAGUCCAUCUUCUUCCACAAGUGGUUAAACCUGGGAGCAAAGCUGGAAACCUGCAAUUUGACUGGCUUGCAGUAAAGAAGGACACCCCCAUUUUAGUGGCACUUGGGGAUACACAGUGUGCUGUGUACUCAAUUCUAAGGAACCAACAUGAAGCAGUUAUCAAUAUGGGGACAUCCUGUCAGCUGGCUUUCCCAGAAUUCCUUGCCACAGUCCCAUCAUCCCCUGACCCUUCCUCUCCGGUGCAGUAUUUUCCAUACUUUAACAAUCGAUACUUGGCAGUAGCUGCUAGUCUGAAUGGAGGAAAUGUGCUGGCUCAAUUUGUCAACAUGAUACAAAACUGGAUGGGUUAUCUUGGUUUAGUCAAAAGUGAUGAAGAGAUUUGGAAAAUUUUGCUAGAGUCACCAUCCAUGCCCCAACCAAAUAGCAUACAGAUUAUUCCCACCAUAUUUGGUGAAAGACAUGCUCCCUCACAGCGUGGAGAAAUCACUGGAAUAACUGCUGGCAACAUGGAUUUACACCAAGUGUUUCAGGCACUAUGCAGAGGACUGGUAGAAAACCUAACCAGAAUGAUGUCUCCUUCUUUCUUGAAGCAAAAAGGAAUUAAUAAAUUAUUAGGCACAGGAUCAGUGAUUCAUAAAAAUCCCAUAAUUCAAAGAGAGGUCAUGACCCAAUAUGGAGGUCUCAUAAUUGAAUUAGGUGGGCAGAGUGAUUCUGCUUUUGGUGCAGCACUUUUUUGUGAAGCCUCAGACAAAAGAUGAUGGAAAAAUGAAAAAGAUUUAAUUCUUGAAUUUAUAUGAUAGUUUUCAAUGAAAAAUGAUCAGACAAUAUACAGAAGUAAAUCUUCUGUUUCUCAAUCUUAAUUAAUUUAUGAAAAUUCUUUUAAUUUGCCACGUACUACUUGGUAGUUGGAGAUUUUCUGAAUUGUAUAGAUAAACAAAGAAUGUAUUAC